rnacentral:piRNA from 1 species
UGGGUAUUGCACAAGGGCUUACUGAAACUGU